GGGUAGGUGCCGGAGUAGACAAACGGAGCUCUCUGUAAAAGAGUUGCCUUCGGGCUUCGGGGGUGCAAAUCCCUCCCUACCCA
rnacentral:tRNA from 1 species